UACGUAGGUGGCAAGCGUUGUCCGGAAUUAUUGGGCGUAAAGCGCGCGCAGGCGGUCCUUUAAGUCUGAUGUGAAAGCCCACGGCUCAACCGUGGAGGGUCAUUGGAAACUGGGGGACUUGAGUGCAGGAGAGAAGAGUGGAAUUCCACGUGUAGCGGUGAAAUGCGUAGAGAUGUGGAGGAACACCAGUGGCGAAGGCGACUCUUUGGCCUGAUGACUGACGCUGAGGCGCGAAAGCGUGGGGAGCAAAGCAGG
rnacentral:rRNA from 1 species